GAGAUUAGAACUCAGAACUCAGAAAGAUUCCUCUAGAAUUCACCUCACCCACACUGGUGCCUCACACUUAAAGCGUUUAGCAGCAGAUUUGGAAUGAAAGCAGAAGCUGUAUUUUCUCCUUUGGAUAACUUUUCCGUAUUCACUUUAUUUUUCUGAAUUGGGAUCCUUGCAAGGACUAACACCUUAGUGUAUGUACAAUGGAUUUUUCCUAUGAGGUAACCGCUGUCCUUUGCUUCACCCACCAAGCAGCUGGGGCCAAGACAAUUUUUUGAAACAGAAGAGGAAGAAAUAUGGUGGAAAAACACAGUUGAACCCAUUGACAAGAUAAGCAGAAAGUGAAGUUGCUAAGCUAUCUGGAAGGAACUGGAACUGAAUAGACUGAAAAACGUGUCAUAGACUACAACUUCAUGAAUCUGCAGUGGAAAGCCCACAGGAGAGCACGAAGCAGUACUGCAGUGGUAUACAGGGCAUUAUGCACCCUUCUUCACCCUGGAACGACAUGGGAGGUGCAAGCAGCUAUUAAUGGCUAGUAAAUCAUUGACUGAGGGAUGAAUGGACACAGAAUCCAGGCAGUAGUUUGUAAAUGGUUCUUUUCAGGCACAUACAUAGGACAGUUAACAAGUCUGUGACAAAAUCUGUCUGGGAGUGCUGAACUUCUGCAAGCUUCUGCUCUGA
rnacentral:sRNA from 1 species